rnacentral:rRNA from 1 species
CCUACGGGAGGCAGCAGUGAGGAAUAUUGGUCAAUGGACGAGAGUCUGAACCAGCCAAGUAGCGUGAAGGAUGACUGCCCUAUGGGUUGUAAACUUCUUUUAUAUGGGAAUGAAAUGUUCCACGUGUGGGAUUUUGUAUGUACCAUAUGAAUAAGGAUCGGCUACCUCCGUGCCAGCAGCCGCGGUAAUACGGAGGAUCCGAGCGUUAUCCGGAUUUAUUGGGUGUAAAGGGAGCGUAGGUGGAUUGUUAAGUCAGUUGUGAAAGUUUGCGGCUCAACCGUAAAAUUGCAGUUGAAACUGGCAGUCUUGAGUACAGUAGAGGUGGGCGGAAUUCGUGGUGUAGCGGUGAAAUGCUUAGAUAUCACGAAGAACUCCGAUUGCGAAGGCAGUUCACUGGACUGCAACUGACACUGAGGCGCGAAAGUGUGGGUAUCAAACAGGAUUAGAUACCCUUGUAGUC